GAUGAACGCUGGCGGCGUGCCUAAUACAUGCAAGUAGAACGCUGAAGCUUGGUGCUUGCACCGAGCGGAUGAGUUGCGAACGGGUGAGUAACGCGUAGGUAACCUGCCUCUUAGCGGGGGAUAACUAUUGGAAACGAUAGCUAAUACCGCAUAAAAGUCGAUAUCGCAUGAUGUUGACUUGAAAGGUGCAAUUGCAUCACUAAGAGAUGGACCUGCGUUGUAUUAGCUAGUUGGUGAGGUAACGGCUCACCAAGGCGACGAUACAUAGCCGACCUGAGAGGGUGAUCGGCCACACUGGGACUGAGACACGGCCCAGACUCCUACGGGAGGCAGCAGUAGGGAAUCUUCGGCAAUGGGGGCAACCCUGACCGAGCAACGCCGCGUGAGUGAAGAAGGUUUUCGGAUCGUAAAGCUCUGUUGUAAGAGAAGAACGAGUGUGAGAGUGGAAAGUUCACACUGUGACGGUAACUUACCAGAAAGGGACGGCUAACUACGUGCCAGCAGCCGCGGUAAUACGUAGGUCCCGAGCGUUAUCCGGAUUUAUUGGGCGUAAAGCGAGCGCAGGCGGUUAGAUAAGUCUGAAGUUAAAGGCUGUGGCUUAACCAUAGUACGCUUUGGAAACUGUUUAACUUGAGUGCAGAAGGGGAGAGUGGAAUUCCAUGUGUAGCGGUGAAAUGCGUAGAUAUAUGGAGGAACACCGGUGGCGGAAGCGGCUCUCUGGUCUGUAACUGACGCUGAGGCUCGAAAGCGUGGGGAGCAAACAGG
rnacentral:rRNA from 1 species